AAAUAGUACAGGAAUAGAAGAAAAGUCAGUUAAUUAAUUAACGUGGAAUUAGAACACUGACAGGGAAUUGCAUAUAGCACCUAUAAGAAAGGAUGCAAUUGUGCUUUAUUGCAAAGUUGCAUACUAACACUUGAAACACUAAAAAAGAAAAUGGCAAUUAGAAGCUUAAUUUCAAGGUUUCGUCUCAUUGCCAUAGUUACUUUUGUGAUGAUUAUUUCACAUUCUGGCGUGAUCCCCUCUGCGGAAGCUGGAUUCAGUCAUAGAGAACUAUAUCAGAAGCCAAUGUAUCCACCAUGUCUAUGUUGCAAAUCAGCAGCACCUCCACCACCAUAUUGCUAUUGUGCCUGUUACGUUACUCGAUCUGAUAAUCCAUAGCACUUAAUCCUAUGAAAAGCUGCAUCUUUGGAUUGGAGAAUAAGUUGCAAAUGGGUUGGAAUAGUUCAGCAUAAUUAUAAAUUCAUUAUAUAAUUCUAUUUUCCGGAAUAAAAAUUGCCAAUAUGUCAAGAACAGUAUCAUAGAGUUGAUGAUUUAUAAUUAAUGUAUUUAGUCUCA